rnacentral:rRNA from 1 species
GUAAGGAAUAUUGGACAAUGGACGCAAGUCUGAUCCAGCCAUGCCGCGUGAAGGAUUAAGGUCCUCUGGAUUGUAAACUUCUUUUAUAAGGGACGAAAAAAGGCUUUUCUAAGUCGUCUGACGGUACCUUAUGAAUAAGCACCGGCUAACUCCGUGCCAGCAGCCGCGGUAAUACGGAGGGUGCAAGCGUUAUCCUGAUUCACUGGGUUUAAAGGGUGCGUAGGCGGGCAGGUAAGUCAGUGGUGAAAUCCUAGAGCUUAACUCUAGAACUGCCAUUGAUACUAUCUGUCUUGAAUAUUGUGGAGGUGAGCGGAAUAUGUCAUGUAGCGGUGAAAUGCUUAGAUAUGACAUAGAACACCUAUUGCGAAGGCAGCUUACUACGCAUAUAUUGACGCUGAGGCACGAAAGCGUGGGGAUCAAACAGGAUUAGAAACCCGGGUAGUCC